rnacentral:tRNA from 1 species
AGUUAUUAGUUUUGGAAACAUUAGGUUUUGAAGUCCUAUAUAAAAUGUUCGACUCAUUUAAUAACUU